rnacentral:tRNA from 1 species
GCGCGGUUAGCUCACUUGGUAGAGCGCGCCUUUGACGUAGGCGAGGUAGCAGGUUCGAUCCCUGCACCGCGCA